rnacentral:tRNA from 1 species
GGGCGUGUGGCUCAGUGGUAGAGCGCACCCCUGAUAAGGGUGAGGUCGUAGGUUCGAUUCCUACCACGCCCA